UUGGUGGGUUUCUCAUGCAACUGCUGAAAUCACUGAGACCUGUGCAUAUGAGCCAGAGUUUAAUUUCUUCUACCUCUUCCCGGAACACUUAUCUUCAAGGAUGGGCUUGAAUAUGCCCAGUACAACCAAGAGGGGUGGCAGCAAGAAGAGCCAUGCCCAAGUAUUCGGGAUGAAGGAGAGCUCUCUCCAGCAACCAUCCUCAAGUUCCAACAAAGUAUUCCAGCGGGAAGAUAACUCCUGCUGGACUGGAGAGCCAUGCCAGGAGGUGUUGAAGACAAUAAAAUUCCCAUCAUUGAAGCCCUAGUCAGACAUUGAAAAGCAGCCAAACUCCUAAAGCUGGGACGCUGGAAAUAAUCUGUUUCCCUGCCAAAGCCAGAAGAAAGUUAACAAGCAAUUUAAGUUUCAAGGCAAGCCGUUUUCACGUGUGUUGUUCAUUUAUUUGUCUUUGCUAGAUAGGUUUUUGCUUCCUUUCGGUCCUUAACUUUUAACUGUGCAAGGCUGGCAGGGAGGAGAAUGAUGUGUUGUGGGGAGGAUUUGGAAGGAGACUCAGACAACAUAAAAGCAGUUGUUUUAGAGGCAGAGACAGAGGGGCUGGAUCAGGUCAGCACUGCUAGAUCACAGCAGCCAGAUACGUGUACAGGACCGAGAUGCUACUAUAAAGAAAGUCAUCAGCCCACCUAACCCAGGGACAAGCCACAACAUAAAUCAGACUGCUCAGAUUCACGGGUGUUGUUGUAUUGAUUGUGUCUUGUGGUUGCACUGUCUGGAAAGAAAUUCAGAUUUAGCUGCACCAGCUCUGCUAACCUCAGCUAUCCAAGCCACAGGCUCCUGCAGUAGAAAAUCCAUCUGCAAAGGGAAGAAAAACAAGAUGCAAGCUCUCAGCAGACUGCCCUGCAAAGUGGCAGUGAAUAAGCCAGUGAUCGCCAUGGUUGUCUCUCCAAUAAUUUCCCUUCUAAGGAAAAAAUCAAACUAUUGC
rnacentral:lncRNA from 1 species